AUUAUUGAAUUAUAUCAACAUAUACAUAAUCAUCUCAUGAUUAUCAAUCAAUAAUCAUAUUAGUUAUAUUUUAUUAUUAUGAACAUAAUAAUAAGUAACUAGGGAUGUUAAUCAUCAUUAUGUAAUAUGCAAACAAAUAAUAAUGAUGGUAAAACCUCUUUUAUUAAUAACUAAAACGACAUACAAAAAGGUCCAAGAUAAUGCCUUAGAGCAAAUAAACUAAUACAAAACACAUAUAGACCGAUGACAGAGACUAGCGAAUAUUGAAAGAGAAUAUUGGACUUCUACAAUCUUUGCCCUCACAAUACUCAUAUUUAUCUUCAACAAAACAUUUUCUCC
rnacentral:lncRNA from 1 species